UGGGGGUCUAUGGGGUCUCUAUGGGGUCUCUAUGGGGUCUAUGGGGGUCCAUGGGGGUCUAUGGGGUCACUAUGGGGGUCUAUGGGGUCUAUGGGGCUCUAUGGGGGUUAUGGGGUCAUAUGGGGGGGUCUAUGGGGGUCUAUGGGGGUCUCUAUGGGGCUCUAUGGGGGCCUAUGGGGUUCUAUGGGGUCUCUAUGGGGGUUAUGGGGUCAUAUGGGGGGGUCUAUGGGGUCUGUGGGUCUCUAUGGGGGUCUAUGGGGUCUCUAUAGGGGUCUAUGGGGAUCUAUGGGGGUCUAUGGGGUCUAUGGGGGUCUAUGGGGUCUCUAUGGGGCUCUAUGGGGCUCUAUGGGGGUCUAUGGGGUCUCUAUGGGUGUGUAUGGGGUUCUAUGGGGGUCUGUGGGGUCUCUAUGGGGGUCUAUGGGGUCUAUGUGGUUCUAUGGAGUCUCUACGGGGGUCUAUGGGGGUCUAUGGGGGUCUCUAUGGGGGUGUAUGGGGGUUAUGGGGUCAUAUGGGGGGUCUAUGGGGGUCUAUGGGGGUCUAUGGGGUUCUAUUGGAGUCUAUGGGGGUCUAUGGGGGUCUCUAUAGGGGUCUAUGGGGUUCUAUGGGGGUCUAUGGGGUCUGUAUGGGGUUCUUUAGGGUCUCUAUGGGGUCUCUAUGGGAGACUAUGGGGUUCCAUGGGGUCUCUAUGGGGUCUAUGGGGGUCUUUGGGGUCUCUAUUGGGGUCUAUGGGGAUCUAUGGGGUCUCUAUGGGUCUCUAUGGAUCCCUAUGGGGUCACUAUGCGUCUCUAUGGGGUCCCUAUGUGUCUCUAUGGGCCUCUAUGGGGUCUCUAUGGGGUCUCUAUGUGUCUCUAUGGGUCUCUAUGGGUCUCUAUGGAUCCCUAUGGUGUCUCUAUGGGUCUCUAUGUGUCUCUUUGGGGUCUCUAUGGAUCUCUCUGGGGUCUCUAUGGGUCUCUAUGGGUCUCUAUGGGUCUCUGUGGAUUCCUAUGGGGUCUCUAUGUGUCUCUAUGGGGUCUCUAUGGAUCCCUAUGGGGUCUCUAUGGGUCUCUACGGGUUUCUAUGGGGUCUUUAUGGGUCUAUGUGUGUCUCUAUGGAUUCCUAUGGGGUCUCUAUGGGGUCUCUAUGUGUCUCUAUGGGUCUUUAUGUGUCUCUAUGGGGUCUCUAUGGAUCCCUAUGGGCUCUCUGUGUGUCUCUAUGGGUUCUAUGGGCUCUCUAUGGGGUCUCUAUGGGGUCUCUAUGGGUCUCUAUGGAUCCCUACGGGGUCUCUAUGGGUCUCUAUGGGUCUCUAUGGGUCUCAAUGGAUUCCUAUGGGGUCUCAGUGUGUAUGUAUGGGGUCUCUAUGGGGUCUGUAUGGAUUCCUAUGGGGUCUCUAUGUGUCUCUAUGGGGUCCUUAUGGGUCUCUAUGGUUCCCUAUGGGGUCUCAAUGGAUUCCUAUGGGGUCUCUAUGUGUCUCUAUGUCUCUCUAUGGGUCUCUAUGGGGCAGAGCCCUUUGAGCCCCCCCCAACCCCCCCCCAUUGCAGUUCCGGGCUCGUGGUCGCCGUGGGGUCCGUGGGGCGGCUGCUCGGUGACGUGUGGGGCCGGGAGGGAAAGCAGACGGAGGGGGUUCUGUGGGGCUCUAUGGGG
ensembl:lncRNA